rnacentral:lncRNA from 1 species
CCCCUGGUUUAACAGAUACAACAACAACAACAACAACAAAGCCUUUUCCCACUAAGUGGGGUCGGCUAUAUGAAUCCUAGAACGCCAUUGCGCUCGGUUUUGUGUCAUGUCCUCCGUUAGAUCCAAGUACUCUAAGUCUUUUCUUAGAGUCUCUUCCAAAGUUUUCCUAGGUCUUCCUCUACCCCUUCGGCCCUGAACCUCUGUCCAGUAGUGACAUCUUCGAACCGGAGCGUCAGUAGGCCUUCUUUGCACAUGUCCAAAUCACCGGAACCGAUUUUCUCUCAUCUUUCCUUCAAUUUCGGCUACUCCUACUUUACCUCGGAUAUCCUCAUUCCCAAUCUUAUCCUUUCUCGUGUGCCCACACAUCCCACGAAUCAUCCUCAUCUCCGCCACACCCAUUUUUUGUACGUGUUGAUGCUUCACCGCCCAACAUUCUGUGCCAUACAACAUCGCUGGCCUUAUUGCCGUCCUAUAAAAUUUUCCCUUGAGCUUCAGUGACCUAUGACGGUCACACAACACGCCGGAUGCACUAUUACACUUCAUCCAUCCAGCUUGUAUUUUAUAGUUGAGAUCUCCAUCUAAUUCUCCGUUCUCUUGCAAGAUAGAUCUUAGGUAGCGAAAGCGGUCGCUUUUUGUGAUCUUCGCUAGAUUGCUCCGGUCAUUAGUAUGGAUAAGUAUAUAAAGGGAUAGAGAUAGGAAAGCGAACACAAGAUGUACGUGGUUCACCCAGAUUGGCUACGUCCACGGAAUAGAGGAGUUCUCAUUAAUUGUGAAGGGUUUACACAAGUACAUAGGUUCAAGCUCUCCUUUAGUGAGUACAAGUGAAUGAUUUAGUACAAAUGACAUUAGGAAAUAUUGUGGGAGAAUGAUCUCGUAAUCACGAAACUUCUAAGUAUCGGAGUGUGGUAUCGUCUUGACGUGCCUUAUCUAUCUCAUAGGUAGAUGGGGCAUCUUCUCUGGAAGUACUUUUCCUCCAUCCAGGGGUGGUAUCUUUAACUGGUGGAGAUGCACAAGGUAAUGUAUCAAUUUCACUUGAAGCUUACUUGUAGUUUCAGGCUUGGUCAAGCGCGAUACAAACCAUGUAGUAGGAGUCCCCCAAGUCGCCGAGCUAGGGGAUCUGCUGAAAGAGGUGACAGACAAGGUAAGCAAUCAUAGCUCCGGCUGAUUGUUCACAGUCUCCCUAUCUUGCAGGCAGCAUGAAGGAUAAAGAGAAGAAAAUGAGAAGAGAUGAUAUGAGAUACUUUUGCUUUUGAAGAAGUAACUUUCCACAGGCUUAUUCUUGAACUGAGCUGGAGGGUUUUCUGGUUUCCUCCAGAGUAUAAGGCCGACUGAAGAAUUUGAGGGUCAAAACAAGUCCAUCAAAUCUAGAGUACGUCCAACCCUGCUGAUAUGGGAUACUUUUGCUUUGAUAGAGUAAUGGAUGUAUCGGCAUGUGUGCUGUUACGCUUGUCUCCACAUGCUUCCUUGUAUCCUUCUCCCUUGCCCUAUCUGUUCCUCAGGCGGAUGCGGUAUCUUCCCUGGAAGCAUAAGAUGUUGAAGAUGAGUACUCGAGAGCAAUGUCAGGUAAGUAAUCAGGUAAGGGGUUCCAGGCAGUCAGUUCCUGGCUGGAAGCUUGAUUCCAAGUACUGACUGAUUGCUCUCUUUCUCCUUGUCUUGCAGGUAAGAACAAGGUCAAAGGAAAAGACAGGGAAAAGCAUGAUAUGGGAUACUCUUGCUUUUAACCCUGAUGAUAUGAGAUAUUCUUGCUCUAGUAUAGCUUGUUUGCAGAGGUAUUAUCGGGGGGAAAGAAAGCUGAAUAUUUCGAAAGGCUUCGUUGGGAGUGCCCUCUCAGAUAUGAGGAAGGGUUAAGCAUUUUUGCAGGUCUGCCUGUCCGUUGGGGACGGAGGUCGACAUAUAUAGGAGUCUCCUUAACAACAAGUAGUAAUGCUAUUCCUUUACCCUACUUGGUCAUAGCACGGUAGUGGGAGCUGUCAGCUUCACAUGUUUUAACGCUGUCAGAGCACUUUGAAAAAUUGGUUUGUGGUAUCUGGAAAGCUGAUGUUGCGUGUGAAGAUUACAGACAGCUUUAUCCAAGGAGAUCCGACUUUUGAAGUUGGGAAAGUGUUGCCUCUUCGGUUUUCGAACAAGCAAUCCUAUCGGGGAUCUGGCUCUCGAGAUUCGGAGAACGAUGCCUCUUCGAUUUUUGAGAAAGCAAUCAUGCUGGGGGUCUGGCUCUCGAGAUUCGGAGAGCGGUGUCUCUUCGAUUUUUGAGAAAGUAAUCAUGUUGGGAGUCUGGCUCUCGAGAUUCGGAGGGCGGUGCCUCUUCGAUUUUGGAGCAAGCAAUCUUGUUGGGAGUGUUUUCUCGAAUGUGAGUAAAGGUUGGGCAUGUUUGCUAGUCUACCUUGCCACGAAGCACAAAGGUUGACACACAGGGACUUUCCAAUUAUCUAGCAAUGGUACUGUUCCUUUACCCUCUUCGAUUUUUGAGAAAGUAGUCAUGUUGGGAGUCUGGCUCUCGAGAUUCGGAGGACGGUGCCUCUUCGAUUUUUGGAGCAAGCAAUCUUGUUGGGAGUGUUUUCUCGAAUGUGAUUAAAGGUUGGGCAUGUUUGCUAGUCUACCUUGCCACGAAGCACAGAGGUUGACACACAGGGACUUUCCAAUUAUCCAGCAGUGGUACUGUUCCUUUACCCUUGUGGGUAAUAAUAUGGUAGCUAGACCUUCAAAAUUUAUGUGUCUAAACUUUGUUAGUGUUGUUUCUUUGCUAUUCUUUUACCCUUCUUGGUCAGAGCGAUGUAGUGGGAGCUACAAGCUUCACGUGUUCAACUUUGGCAGAGAACUUUGGCAAAGUUAUCUGUGGUACCCAUGAGCUACUGUUGCGUGUGGGAAGUGGGUGAUUGAACAGUAAGACUCAUGUGCUUUCUACUUCACCAGAAGUCUUCGACCGAAUGCCCAUAAUUUCCGCAAAGCUGAGUGUGCGUGUGACAGGUGCUGACAAGGCUGGAACAGUAGGUGCCUCUUCGAUUUCUGAGAUCGGCCCUCGUGGUCUCUGAGCAGCCCAGCUUUUGAGAAAGCACGCGCCUCUUCGGUUUCUGAGAUCGGCCUUCGUGGUCUUUGCGCAGCCCAGCUUUUGAGAAAGCAAACGCCUCUUCGAUUUCUGAGAUCGACCCUCGUGGUAUCUGAGCAGCCUUGCUUUUGAGAAAGCAAACGCCUCUUCGAUUUCUGAGCAGGCGCCUCUUCGAUUUCUUAAGCUCCGUCGAGUGCAGAUUUUUAUAGGGGCUGGCAUUAAGUUCCAAAGCACACUUGAAUCUCCACCAGUAGAAGCUCCAUUCUUGCACUUCUAAGAUCUUGAUUUGUCCGACCUCUUCUCUCUUCAACAACUUUGAAAAUGUCUAGCCCCUCCGACCGUCGUUUUGACUUGAACCUUGUUGAAGAGGCAGCCCCGCCUUCUCCUGACAACAUAUGGCGUCCAUCCUUCGUCUCCCCUACUGGUCCUCUUACCGUUGGGGAUUCCGUGAUGAAGAAUGAUAUGACCGCUGCGGUGGUGGCCAGGAACCUUCUCACUCCCAAAGAUAACAGACUACUUUCCAAACGGUCUGAUGAGUAGAUGUUAAGGAUUCUCUGGCUCUCAGUGUUCAGUGUGCAGGUUCUGUGUCUAAUAUGGCCCAACGCCUAUUUGCUCGAACCCGCCAAGUUGAAUCAUUGGCGGCUGAAGUGAUGAGUCUCAAACAGGAGAUUAGAGGGCUCAAGCAUGAGAAUAAACAGUUGCACCGGCUCGCACAUGACUAUGCUACAAACAUGAAGAGGAAGCUUGACCAGAUGAAGGAAUCUGAUGGUCAGGUUUUACUUGAUCAUCAGAGAUUUGUGGGUUUAUUCCAAAGGCAUUUAUUGCCUUCGUCUUCUGGGGCUAUACCGCGUAAUGAAGCUCCAAAUGAUCAACCUCUGAUGCCUCCUCCUUCUAGGGUUCUGUCCAGUACUGAGGCUCCGAAUGAUCCCCCCUCCGGUGCCUUCUCUUUCUGGGGCUCUACCGACUGCUGAGACUUCUCCUAAGCAACCUUUGUGAAGGCUCCCUCUUGUUUGUUUAUUUUGACUUAUGUAUAUGUACAUAUUUGUAGCUUAUCGGGGAUAUCAAUAAAUAAGCUUUCCUUCAUUUCAACGUAUUGUGUUAAAUACACCAAAGCCUUCUUCGCUAAGUUCUUUGAAUUUUCUUUUGUUGAAGCUUUGUGAGUGGAGCAUGUAGGUUGAGGUAGUGUUCCCUUAAUUUCCUGAGUGAGGAAAACUUCUCGGUUGGAGACUUGGAAAAUCCAAGUCACUGAGUGGGAUCGGCUAUAUGAAUCUUAGAACGCCAUUGUACUCGGUCCUGUGUCAUGUCCUUCGUUAGAUCCAAGUACUCUAAGUCUUUUCUUAGAGUCUCUUCCAAAGUUUUCCUAGGUCUUCCUCUACCCUUUCGGCCCUGAACCUCUGUCCCAUAGUCGCAUCUUCUAAUCGGAACGUCAGUAGGCCUUCUUUGCACAUGUCCAAACCACCGUAACCGAUUUUCUCUCAUCUUUCCUUCAAUUUCGGCUACUCCUACUUUACCCCGGAUAUCCUCAUUCCUAAU